rnacentral:rRNA from 1 species
GCCGGCUACCCGUCGUCGCCUUGGUGAGCCAUUACCUCACCAACAAGCUGAUAGGCCGCGAGCCCAUCCCAAACCGAAAAACUUUCCAAACCAUACCCAUGCAGGUUGGUCUCGUAUCCAGUAUUAGACGCCGUUUCCAGCGCUUAUUCCAGAGUUUGGGGCAGGUUGCUCACGUGUUACUCACCCGUUCGCCACUGAUCCACUCCAGCAAGCUGGAGCUUCACCGUUCGACUUGCAUGUGUUAAGCACGCCGCCAGCGUUCGUCCUGAGCCAUGAUC